rnacentral:lncRNA from 1 species
GACACCGUCACCAGCUGGACCAUCCGCGGCCCUGGACCAUCCAGCGAAGGCCGUGACGCCGUCACCAGCUGGACCAUCCGCGGCUUUGGACCAUCCAGCGACGGCCGUGACGCCGCCACCAGCUGGACUAUCCGCGGCACUGGACCAUCCAGCGACGGCCGUGACGCCGCCACCAGCUGGACCAUCCGCGGCACUGGACCAUCCAGCGACGGCCGUGACGCCGUCACCAGCUGGACCAUCCGCGGCUUUGGACCAUCCAGCGACGGCCGUGACGCCGUCACCAGCUGGACCAUCCGCGGCUUUGGACCAUCCAGCGACGGCCGUGACGCCGCCACCAGCUGGACCAUCCGCGGCCCUGGACCAUCCAGCGACGGCCGUGACGCCGCUACCAGCUGGACCAUCCGCGGCACUGGACCAUCCAGCGACGGCCGUGACGCCGCCACCAGCUGGACCAUCCGCGGCACUGGACCAUCCAGCGACGGCCGUGACGCCGUCACCAGCUGGACCAUCCGCGGCACUGGACCAUCCAGCGACGGCCAUGGCGUCGACUCUGCCGGUGCCGGAGACGACGGCGACGUCACCUGCGCCGCUGGUGUCAACACCGCAUGGACACCAGCUGCGAGCUGGUAAACGGCGGUGGAGUGGAAGCAGAGCGCGCAAGCCACCAGCCAGCUGACGCAGAGCCCAGAGGGCGUUCGCCACCAACAUCCGCACGGCGCAGCUGCAAAGAUGAUUUCUGCCAUGGAGCAGCAUCCGCGGCUCCAUGACAUCAUCCUUCCAUCAUUCUCCAUCAUCAUUCCCGGAGCUCACCCGGCGGCGGAGCCGGCGACGCCCGCGCCCCGCCUGGCCGUCCAGCCUGCGCGCUCCGCCGCGCGCCGCGGGCCCGGCUCGCCGAGACGUCCGGCUUAGGUCGGCGUUUGAGGCGCGGCGGGGGGCACCGUCUCUGUGCCCUGCUCCGGGUCCCCGCCGCCUGCGGUCUCUUCUGCUGCCGCCACUGAGGGGAGCGGCUCUUCUUUGAAGACGGCAUCGGUCGACGGUGAUGCUGGCGGGCCGGUGGCGGCGUGCCCCGUCGGCAGCGCGCCUCGGGAGGACGCUGGUGACGACGAAUCUUCAUUGCCGUCGGCACCGGUCGCGAGCGAGUCGCUGUUUAGUUGGCCUGCUACAGGCUUUGCUGUGCCAAAAAGUGCGACUGUGGCCAGACUGGUAUACGAUUUGUCAGUGCUUACGCCCCUCUUGCCGUGCCGGCCGUGCUCUUUGCCGUCUAUUGAGGAUGCGUUAGAGUUAUCGUUUUGGGGUUUUAUACCGGUAUCAAGAUUGAUUUAAAAGAUGGAUUUCAUCACAUUCCACACGUCCUUUUGGUGUUUUGUAUGAUGGUAAAACGUACUUAUACCUUUUCUCUGUUACCAAUGGGCCCUAUUAGGUACUGCAUCUCAUGCAUUAUUAGGUAGAGAUGCAGUACCAUUAUUAGGUACUGCAUUAUUAGGUACUGAAGGAGAUGCAGUUAGGUACUGCAGCAGUACCUAACAGAUGCUUUCAGUGAACUUGUAGAGUCGAGAUUUAACGUCAGGUGUGAGGUGUUUGGCGUAUUUAGAUGAUUUUCUUUUUAUGUCCAAGGACGCUGAAUGGUAUCGCUGCGUUUCUGACUAGUGUUGGGUUGUGUAUUAAUUUCAAUAAAUUAGUUCUCGUUCCGUC